AUUUACCACAAGGGGAGCCGAAAUGGUCGGCUGAGAGUGAACCCAAAGUUCUAACCCUUUGAACCUGUAAGUUAAUGCUUGCGUAGGAAUGUGGAUAGAAACCGAC
rfam:Viridibacillus arenosi FSL R5-213 Contig001, whole genome shotgun sequence.